rnacentral:rRNA from 1 species
GAUGAACGCUGGCGGCGUGCCUAACACAUGCAAGUCGAACGGAGACGGAGCUGGAAGGGACAGUUUACUGUAACGGAAAGAUCUGUCUUAGUGGCGGACGGGUGAGUAACGCGUGGGCAACCUGCCCUGUACCGGGGGAUAACACUUAGAAAUAGGUGCUAAUACCGCAUAAUAGGGAAUACCGCAUGGUAAUCCUUUGAAAACUCCGGUGGUACAGGAUGGGCCCGCGUCUGAGUAGCCAGUUGGCGGGGUAACGGCCCACCAAAGCGACGAUCAGCAGCCGGCCUGAGAGGGUGGACGGCCACACUGGGACUGAGACACGGCCCAG